ensembl:lncRNA
CCCCGCCCCCUGCCCGCCUCUCCCGAACCUGUAGCGCCGGCACCCCAGUCCUCUUCUCGGCGCCCUGCUCCUCCCAACCUGUAACAGCUAGGUGUGGUGCUUCCUAACGUGGUCCUGGACCCCUUUCCACAUUUACUGCUCUGUUUUACAAGCCGGAAUUGCAGUUGUAAUACGACUCUGCCAUUCACUAAUUGUUUGAAUUGAACGACAUGAAGGGGAGAGCUUCCCAGGUGGGUAUAUGUGGACCUGUCUCACUGUUUUAACAAGAUGUCCAGUGUUCUCCAAGAUGGAUAUUCUUUGACUUACCCACCGUGGACCUAUUGGGUUCCUCCCCACCCAACCCCAGCUGCCCUGGGGAAGAUGGACCGUGGAGUGACGGACAGGGAAUUGUGCGAACUCUGGUGUUCAAGUGUGUCUAGAAGGCUGCAAGGGACCCUGCCUGGGCACUCUUUUGGGCCCCGUGGGUUCCUUCUCCAUUCUGUGGCCUCAGAUGGGGCUUCUGUAUAAAUUUCUUAGUGCUGAAAAAAAAUAAUUUCUUAGUGCUACUGGACCAAAUUACCAAAACCAAAGUGGCUCAAAAAAGACAAACUGGUUACUUUACAAUUCUGGAGGUCAAAUUCAAAAAUAGGCCUCAGUGGCCUGAAGUCAAGGUUGUGACAUCUCUCAGGAAGACUGUCUUACCAUCACCAGCUGGUGCACACCACCAGCCCUCCUUGGUUCAUGACUCCCUCCCACUGGCAACACCAGCAGUGGCGGGCCAGCCUCACAUCCCAACCCCCAGGCCACAGUACUGGUCCGUGGCCUGUUGGGAACCGGGCCACACAGCAGGAGGUGAGCAGUGGGCGAGCGAUCGAGGAGUCAUCUGUAUUUACAACUGCUCUCCAUCACUUGCUUUACUGCCUGAACUCUGCCUAUUGUCAGAUGGGUAGCGGCAUUAGAUUUCCAUAAGAGCACAAACCCUACUGUGAACUGCACACGUGAGGGAUCUAGGUCACAAGCUCCUAAUGAGAAUCAUCCCCAAACUAUCCCCUCCUACCUGGUCCAUAGAAAAAUUGUUUUCCACGAAACCUGUCAGUAGAGCUAAAAAUGUUGGGGGCUGCUGCCUUAAUAACUCGUGAUUGUAUUGGGCUUACCUGAAUGAUCUCCGGAUUUUAAGGUCAGCUCCCUGGCAAGCCACCUUAAUUCCUCCUUUUCACGUAAGACAGCAUAUUCACAGGUUGGGAGAUUCAGGUGUAGACAUAUUAGGAGGCUCUGUUAUUCUCCCACUGUAUCUUCUGGGGAGAAGGCACUUGGCCCAGGCUCCGCACGGCUGCCAUCAGUGUAUGAAGGUGCUGUUGCCCUACAUGCUGAUCAAACCGGAUGUUUGCAGUCUUUGGAAUUUUGACUGAUUUGAGGAGUUGGCCCAUUUUAAAGCCGAGAAAGUCCAGUUCUGCCCUCCCUCUCCCAACACAUAUGCAUUGCCCAGGCUGUGGGAUCUUAGUUCCCUGACUAGGGGUGAAACCCAAACCAUGCCCCCUGCCGUGGCAGCAUGAAGUCUGGACUGCCAGGGAAGUCCCAAGAGGAAACCCAGUUUUAGAGAAGGAAGCUUACUUACCUGAGAUCUCAGGCAACUUUCUAUUUCCAGAAUUCCAGUCUAAUGUUUUCCUCACAAAGCAUGAUUCAUAUAGGAGGAUGUUUAGCCAGAUGGCUUGGAAAUCAUUGGCUGAGUCACAUUUUUCAUCCAUCCACUGGCAGCCAUGAGCAAACGCAUCUUGGGAGCCUCAGGAGUGGUGACCAGGGACUUGGAAAGCAGAGGCAGAGACCACGCUGUGAUCUCCAAGCUGUAACCUCCUGAUAGUUCUGUGUGUGUGUGUGUUUCUGUGUGUGUGUGUGUGUGUGUGUGUGUGUGUGUACUCCGUUAUGUCCGACUCUGCGACCCCAUGGACUGUAGCCCCACCCAGGCUCCUCUGUCCAAGGGACUCUCCAGGCAAGAAUACUGGAGUGGGUUACCGUUUCCUCCUCCAGGGGAUCUUCCCAACCCAGGGAUCUCUUGUGUCUCUUGCGUCUCCUGCAUUGGCAGGCAGAUUCUUUACCACUGCACCACCUGGGAAGCCUGGAGAGUCCUCUUCUCUCUCCCUAACUGGAUGCGCCCCGACUGGUCUCCCAGCCUGCCCAUUCCCAGGUACAGCCCUUUUUUUCCAGACCCACAAACCUCCAGGGGUGCAGGCCUGGCACCCUUCUUCUUUUGUCUUUCCCUGCAUCCCAGCAGAACUGGAGUCCUGGCUCUGCCCUUGACCAGCUGUGGUGACCAGCCUGGAAGGUGGCGCCCAGUGAUCCCACCUCCUGGAACGCACACCCUCCUGCAGUGCCUCUCACGUGGUACCAGGAGGUCCCGUGUGACCUGCAGACUGUCAGAAGUAAUAUUGUAUUGCUUCGGACAUUAGGUUAUUAAAGUCACUGCAGCUUCCAUCUUGGGUGUUCCCUGGGGAAUCAUUCUCUCUGGGGAAAGCCCGCUGCCAUGGCACGGAGACAGACAGCCCUGCGGAGUGACCCCAUGAUGAGGAACCCAGGCUUCCUCCAGCAGCUGGGUGAAUGAGCCCUUCUGGAAGUGGAUCCUGCAGCUUCAGUUGAGCCUUUCAAUAACUCAGCCGCUGCUGACAUCUUGCCCACAACCCCAUGAGAGGCCCUGAGCCCGAACCGACUAGCCAAGCUGCUCCCGUAUUCCUGACCCGAGCAUCAGUGUGUGCUAUUUCAUGCCUCUACAUUUUGGGAUGAUUUGUUCACAGUGAUAGAUGAUUAACGCACUAGCUCUGCGAUGUUAGGUUCUGUAGCCUCUGAACCCCAGUUUCCUCCUUUGCGCCCCAACAGUCAUAGAAGUGACUGAAACAUAGAAAACGGCACAGUGAAAGCACAGGGCCUGGUUUGCUGAGAGUACUCCACACCCAGGGCCAUGUGCUUCCCAGC